rnacentral:rRNA from 1 species
CCUACGGAGUGCUGCAGUGAGGAAUAUUGGUCAAUGGGAGAGAUCCUGAACCAGCCAAGCCGCGUGAGGGAAGACGGCCCUACGGGUUGUAAACUUCUUUUGUCAGGGAGCAAUUGAGUCCACGUGUGGGCUUAGCGAGAGUACCUGAAGAAAAAGCAUCGGCUAACUCCGUGCCAGCAGCCGCGGUAAUACGGAGGAUGCGAUCGUUAUCCGGAUUUAUUUGGUUUAAAGGGUGCGUAGGCGGAAUAUCAAGUCAGCGGUAAAAAUUCGGGGCUCAACCCCGUCGUGCCGUUGAAACUGAUGUUCUUGAGUGGGCGAGAAGUAGGCGGAAUGCGUGGUGUAGCGGUGAAAUGCAUAGAUAUCACGCAGAACUCCGAUUGCGAAGGCAGCAUACCGGCGCCCAACUGACGCGGAAGCACGAAAGCGUGGGUAUCGAACAGGAGUAGAUACCCCGGUAGUC